GCGAUUUAGAGCGGACGUGGUCCCAGAAUAAAGUGGAAUUUUUAGUAAAGUGACUGUUAGCUGUUUGAAGAAAUAGAUAGUCGGAAAAUUAAUUAAACUAGUGGAAAUUGCAAAGGCCCAAGUGUGAGGAAAUCAAGAUUUCUUAUAUCUGUUGAAGAUAGUAGCUGACGUCUAAUCAGCUAAUUAGUGAAUCUGCUGCUCGAGGCUCAGGUAAAUGCGUUUGUGUGUUGUAUACGGAAUAAGAUUGUGUCGUCCAAAUGUUAUGCUGUGGUUUUAUUUACACGUGUGCGCUUCUUUCUUUUCUCCGUGAAGGAACCUAAAUCCUUCACGUGAAGGUGUUCCGGCCGGGUUCUAGACCCGGAAGUAGGUUGUAGGGAGAUUCGGACGUUCCGAGUUCUCUAGGUGGAUCCAGAAGCUUGGCGGUUUGUAGGCUUUAAGCCUCAUCGUCCGGCCAGUGAUACACCAUCGCACCUACGGGCCAGGGAGAGAUCCACGUCUCCCGAGAAUUACCAACCGAUCGCCAAUUGUCGGAAGGAUUCUCCAUCUCGUUGGCCUCGAGACAGCUGGCAGUUCGACGCUAACCGAUCUGCACGAGGUAGUGUCGGCGCACACUACGAGCGUACGUUUACCACCCACCGCACCGCCGGGUGGAGACCAGCACCAGCACCAAGACGACUGACAGCCAUCGGGUAGCCGAUUGCGCACACGCAUACUACCACCGAACUCAUCGUCACCGCGCCCGAUACGAUCGCCAAUACCGACUCUUCGUCGCCCCGGUGGCCUUGCACACGCACACAACGGCAACCUUCGUCGCACCGGCGGCGUGAUUACAACACCACGACACAAUCAUCGUAGCUCCGGCGGCAAACUCACCGCCAACCACUUUCGAUUUCGUUGGUCCGGCGGCGUACUCAGCAGAGA